rnacentral:lncRNA from 1 species
GGGGGAGGGGGGGGUCCAUUCCUGCAUUGCAAUGUGAAGUGUUCCUGAAUAAACCUGCUUGAAGAAGGACAACGUGGUGUUGCGUCUUUCCUGCUGGUCAGGGUGGAUGCAACAAGUGAUGGCCCAUACAGGGACUUCUGCUUCACGAGAGCGCUGCAGGUCCAGAACUUCAAGAGGUCAGGGUAGUCGGCUGGAAAGCUCCCAGGACUGCCGCCAGCCAUUGUGGGUACAUGAACGACUGACUCAAGUGCUGAAGGAUGACCAGAGGUGUGAUGAUGAUUCUCCUGGGAAUACUGAUGAUGGUGAUGGGGUGCAGGAGUGAGGAGCUACAAUGGGGCUCAUGUCGGUGUUUCUGAAGCCGCUACCCUUGACCCAUUCUGCUCAAGUGUUUCCUCGUUUCUUUACCUCCAAUACAUCUUUACAGCUACCCUUUUACCUGAUGAUGAAGGAGUGACACGGUGAUCUCCAGCUUGCCCUGCGAGGGGUAUUAUGCUUUCAGCUUAUUGUAAAUAUUUCUCAAGAUAGUGUGUGUAUGCAAUUGUAUAAUCAGACUGCUGCAUGGUUGGAUAGACCUUUUAAUAGUUCAACCCGAGCUAAUGCUACUUGGAUCAGAGGAACUUGGCCUGUGAGCAUACCCAAGGGCAAUGCUAGCAUUCCACCCCAACCACGCUGGACCCCAUUUUGCAGAGGCGUACGAGACUCUUUGCCUCCGUGGACUGGAUGUCAAUCCCGGAAGGCUGCUUGGGUAGUGAAAAAGUAUUUUACCUUUUCUCCAUACAUCAGUACCAUGCAUGAUUAAACAUUUGCAGGUUAUAAUUGGACAUAUCAAAGCCCAACACAGCAAGGGGCUAAUAAUCCUUUUAAUGUAUGGUUGUUAUGUGGGGUAAAUGGAAGCUGUACUGAUUUGUCACCUCUAAGUAUACUGAUGGGAGGGGCCUGGGGAAAUGCUAGUUGUUAUUGGAAUGGGUCUGAUUUGUUUGAAAAUUCUGUGAGUGUUUUGGCUUCAAGAAUCAUAGUAGUGAUAAUUGCUUUUAUAGUAUGUAUUGGAAUGCAUCUGUAUUUUCUUUGGCUGUGGUAACUGUAUGCCUAGAUUUGUACCCUGGCCAGUGCAAGCUCCAUCUGAGAUGACACUGUUUAGACCUAAAAGAGAUUUUGAGAUUACUGCUGCCAUAGUCACAGCAAUAUCACACCUCAAGGAAUGGGCUGGCAUAGGAGGGCUGGCAAUCAUCUGCGUUGCCACAGGAGUAAUGGCCCUAUGGUGCAUUUGUCGUAUGCAAAAAAAAAGGCAUACCCAUGAGCAGGCACUGUUGAUUCAGGCUUUUGCAGCCCCAGAGCUGGGGCAAUCUUCUCAAGUGUGGCUUGGCAUGCUAGAGAAGUAGUCAAUAAUGGGUAAGACUCCCUGGAGGUGUGACUAACCUAAGACAGGGACCAGACCACUGCUGUCUGUCCUCCCGAUGAUGGGUAAGGAGCAUUAUCACAGGGGGCAACCUAAGACAGGCAUUCUCACUGCCAAAAUAAUAAAUAAGGGGGAGAUGUGAGGAGUGGGUGCGACCGCCACCCGAAGAUGGCACCCAGGACUGCUGCCAGGUCUUACGACCUGCGCCUGACCCUUAUUACCUCAGACUUAGCCACAUCCCAACCGCCUGCACUGUGCAGACGCCAUGCCUCGUCAGCUCACCUGAGGUGUCGUCACUUGCUGUGAACCAAUGGACUGCCAUUAUGUGACUGGGGUGAUUGGGAGGAGUCAGUAGGGCGCCCCCAGGGUUGCGGGGAUUCCCGUUCCUGCAUUGCAAUGUGAAGUGUUCCUAAAUAAACCUGCUUGAAGAAGG